AUUGAACGCUGGCGGCAGGCCUAACACAUGCAAGUCGAGCGAGCCGCGGACGGGUGUGUAAUGUCUGGGAAUCUCCCUGAUGGAGGGGGAUAACUACUGGAAACGGUAGCUAAUACCGCAUACUAUCAGAUGUGCCCAGAUGGGAUUAUCUAGUUGGUGGGGUAAUGGCUCACCUAGGCGACGAGCACUAGCUGGUGUGAGAGGAUGACAAGAAAAACUGGAACUGGGACACGGUCCAGAAUGCUAGGGGAGGCAGCAGUGGGGAAUAUUGCAAAAUGGGCGCAAGCCAGAUGCAGAAAGGCGGCGUGUAUGAAGAAGGACUGCGGGGUGUAAAGUACUUUCAGCGGGGAGGCGUUACCCGCAGAAGAAGCAACGGCUAACUCCGUGCCAGCAGCCGCGGUAAUAC
rnacentral:rRNA from 1 species